rnacentral:rRNA from 1 species
GGCUCAGGACGAACGCUGGCGGCGUGCUUAACACAUGCAAGUCGAACGAGGAUCAGGGAGAGCUUGCUUGAACUGAUUCGAGUGGCGGACGGGUGAGUAACGCGUGAACAAUCUGUCUCACACAGGGGAAUAACGCAUCGAAAGAUGUGCUAAUACCGCAUAGGACCACGGGAGGGCAUCCUACCGAGGUGAAAGGAGCAAUCCGGUGUGAGGUGAGUUCGCGUCUGAUUAGAUAGUUGGUGAGGUAACGGCCCACCAAGUCAACGAUCAGUAGCCGACCUGAGAGGGUGAUCGGCCACAUUGGGACUGAGACACGGCCCAGACUCCUACGGGAGGCAGCAGUGGGGAAUAUUGGGCAAUGGGCGCAAGCCCUGACCCAGCAACGCCGCGUGAAGGAAGAAGGUUUUCGGAUCGUAAACUUCUGUCCUUGGUGGAGAUAAUGACGGUAGCCAAGGAGGAAGCCCCGGCUAACUACGUGCCAGCAGCCGC